rnacentral:rRNA from 1 species
CCUACGGGAGGCAGCAGUGAGGAAUAUUGAGCAAUGGGCGCAAGCCUGACUCAGCAACGCCGCGUGGGCGAUGAAGGCCUUCGGGUUGUAAAGCCCUUUUCUGGGGGACGAGGAAGGACGGUACCCCAGGAAUAAGUCACGGCUAACUACGUGCCAGCAGCCGCGGUAACACGUAGGUGGCGAGCGUUAUCCGGAUUCACUGGGCGUAAAGCGCGUGCAGGCGGUUCCGUAAGUCGGAGGUAAAAGCUCCUGGCUUAACUGGGAGAGGCCGUUCGAUACUGCGGGACUUGAGGUCGGGAGAGGGACGUGAAAUUCCUGGUGUAGGGGUGAAAUCCGUAGAUAUCAGGAGGAACACCGGUGGCGAAGGCGACUUCC